rnacentral:lncRNA from 1 species
GAGAGCAGUAGGAUAGAUGCAUUCGUAGGUCGUAGCACAUGCCAACAAUCUGUAUAUACACAUGCCCGGUGAUAUUUACAACUUCCAGGCACAUAAACAGGCCAGCGAGAGCCACAGGAAAGAAGAAAGGAACGGAUGACAACUUCUGAAACAGAACGACCAAUUGGAUGACCAACAGAUAUUCUCUCCACCAGACAACAUGACAAUCUAAAAAAGACUCAAAAAAUAGGAGCAACAACACCAUGCGCCAAUAAAACAAUGGUUUGCAGCUAGGUUUCACGCGCCCGCCUCGGCGGCGGCACGCCUCCUUAGCUUGGCGCGUGUCACGCGGAUGGUCUCCUCCAUGACCGUCUCCUCUAGCGCAGGAUCAACCUCUUCGGCGCCCUCCACGGCGACGUCAGCCUCGUCGAUCGCCAUGUCGUCCGAUGCUUCGGCUUCAGGGGCCGGCUGGGCCUUAGGCUCGGGCCUUGGUGCGACAGCGUCAGCAGCUGGAGCCGGCACUGGCUCGGCCGCAGGUUUCGCCUCACUUUUCUUUGUCUUCUCAUCGGGUUUUGCUGUGGGUGCAGCAGCCGCGGCUGGUUUCACCGAUGCCGCUGGACCACCUUUGGCUGAUGCUUGACGCUUGAUCUUGGGGGAAACGGGCUUGGUCUCCUGAGCUUGCUGUGCCAUUGCUGCUUGCCGAGCAGCGAUAGAUGCUGCUCUGCGCAUAACAGGCUGCGCUUGCCUUUGUGGUUGCUGCUGCUGCACCUGCGGUUGUGGUUGUGAUUGCUGUUGCUGAGGCUGCUGUGGUUCCUAAAAAUCAAAACAUGAUUUCAGUAUUAACUGCAUUUGAGACUUUAAUAGAAAGCACAGAUGGAUAUCAUGUUGACUCUUGAGAAUUAGUUAACACAACCAGUCUGGAACUGAUGAGCCCUCCAAGGCGUACUAAAAAUAAAAAAUUAGCCCAAAUUUAUUUAAAACCAAUCUUCGGCCAUAGAGUAAAAACCUUAAUGUCUUAUGCAUUAGAUUGUACAACAUGUGGAAGGAAAGUCCAUAACUCCAGAUGGUGCAACUUUCUGAGUUUUAACAUUAGCAAAUGAACUUAUAUUUAAAUGCAGGAUUGAGGUUUAACUCCAGAUGGUACUUCAGCGCUUACUAAUGUUCUGUUUCAUAUUACAGUAUAUGAUGAUUUGGAUGAGCCACUUCUAGAUAUCAGGGUGUUUGGCUACCUGUUUCAUUUUUUUAAUCAAUUUGCAAACUGGUAUUUUCUUUGUUAUAGGGCAUAUGAAAUGAAAUGGCAGAGAACAACAUAUAUUUGUCAAACUGAGUGACAGACUUUUUACAGCUAUAUUUCUAUAGCAGUUCCAAAUGAACCAUAUUUCUAUACAAUUCAAUUUAGGCAAGUGCCACCAGAUGGCAGACAUGAAAUUGUGAAUCUUUUGAAUACACAGGAGGAUAAAAUGCUGGCAUCUUACCACAGGCAGUUUGCAUUAUGUAAAAUCCUACCUAGUUUCCAACUGAAUAUAUUCUCCGGGGAAAAAAGUGAAAAUAUAUGACAACAGGAAUUCAAUAACUGAUAAGUGAUAAUGCAUAGUUACUUAUAUAUCAGGUGUUCAGUACAAGCCAAGGUAUAGUUUUUAUUGUUAAGUAAAAUACUGCCACUUGCAAUUCUCCUGAGAACCAAGUCCUUUUCUAGAUCGCGAUAACAAAAUUACGCAACACUUCAGGAUCCAAAUGAAGUAAUGAUAAAACUCACAAAAAAAGCAUCUUUUGAGAGGCUUCAGAAAUUUACCCUAUGGCUCAAGAAGAACUCAUAUGCUAUCACAGCAUAUGAUAGGUUCUUCAUAUGUCAAAUGCAUAUGUGUAGUUCAGUAUGCAUUCAUAUUACAGAUGCUAGCAAUAUAUACCAAAGUUCUGCUGACUUAGGCAUGCGCAUUGUAAUCAGCAACUCAGCAUAGCUACUCAUGUAGCUUUCUGCAGCACGGAUCUAGAUCACAGCAAUUGUUUAGACUCAAUGAUGCUAAUCCAAAAGAGACAAGAUUUUUACAUAGUUGUCCUAAUCCAAAAGAGACUCAUAUUAAGUGUUCCUAAACUGCAAUACAUUUCAGGGAUGCCAAACACUUGAGCCAUUGGAUUAUUAUCACGGGACAGAGAUGAUAUACAUCACAAAUGUUAGCUGGAAUUUUUAGAGGCCACCAUAUAACAUGCAGAACUUCAUCGUUUAUCAUGCAAUGUGCAAAGAGAAAACGAGAAAGGCCUAGCGAAUCAUAAAGGAGAUUAAAUGGUGCAUUAACAUCGUCAGGGUGAAAAUACAUCAAUUGGUUCAAUAGCUUUGACUGAAAGGACCAUAAUACAGUACACAUGAUUCGCACCUGAGGACGUUGCUUUGAUUUCUGGGAUGGUGACUGUGACGCAACAUACUUCAAAACAUCAAAGAAGGUAUUUUGUCCAACAGCAGCAACCUUCUGGACAUAAACGACAACAACAUCGCUGGCCCGAGCUCUCAACUCAAG